CCUGAACGCUGGCGGCGUGGCUAAGACAUGCAAGUCGCACGGUGUAGCAAUACACAGUGGCGAACGGGUGAGUAAUGAAUCGCUAAUGUACCCUGGACUCUGGGAUAGCUGGCCGAAAGGCCAGGUAAUACCAGAUGAGACCACGAACAGGCAUCUGUUUGUGCUCAAAGGUCCGCCGGUCUGGGAGCAGGCGAUUUCGUAUCAGCAGUUGGUGAGGUAACGGCUCACCAAGGCGACGACGCGUAGCCGGACUGAGAGGUUGGCCGGCCACAUCGGGACUGAGACACUGCCCGGACUCC
rnacentral:rRNA from 1 species